rnacentral:lncRNA from 1 species
AUAUGGUUGACGAAUAUCAUGUUAUGAAAGAGUUUAAUCAAAGUUAAAAUUCAAAUCCAGCAGCCAAGCUUCUAAUCUACAAAAUGCUAAAACCUUUGAUGAUAAUUUGCAUGGUAAUAGAAAUACUAUAACGACAAAUAAUUCUCUAAAAGGUGUUAUUAUAUAUUCCCAAACCAUUUUUAUGUGUCAUGUACAUGUACAAGCCACCACAAAUGCCCAAAACUGGCAUGUUUCAUCACAAAGUAAAUAACACAAUACCUAUAACUAAAUCUAAGUAGGGCAACUUAUUAAGCAACUGAUAUAUCGCUUCUAUGGAGUAACAACCUCAAGCCUUGUUUGGUGCUUCUCCAACUUUCUGCAGCAAGACAUGACAAGAUGAGUCCUAAGCAAAUUGAUAUGAUGCACAGAAAAUUCGAAAAUAAAAUUUGUGAAUGAUAUAUGAAUAGUAAAAUAUGCAUUUAGCCUAAUCAUGCCAGUCACAUUUAGCAUAUCUAACUGAAAUUCGGAACCUCAUGAACUAGGUUGGUAAUUUCAUGAAUUGAAGAAAGAGAACCCAAACUUAGAAACCAUGCCAAUUACAAUUCAGUAAUGAUAUAUCUUCCUGAACAUCUUCCGCAAAUUCAGAGUGUAAGAAGCAGUCACAAAACUGAAUUCGGACUUCCAAUGAAGGUAAAUUUAUGUACCUCUUCUUUGUUGCCCUUUCCUCUAGUGAAGAACUUGCAAGUCCCAUAGAUGAAUGCGCCCCACCCAGCCAACGAAACAAACACAAACUGCAAUGGCAGAAGAUUCAGAAAUACUUAAAAUAUUACCAUAAACAAAUAUCUGGGAAACAAGACAAUGAAGUAACUAAAAAUAUAACAUAAAUAUAACACAAAUAAACAGAAUUUCAUAAUCAAGAAUUAACAAAUAUAUCAUAAACAGAAUAACUAAAAAAUCAGAGAUAAUGCAGAACGCAGAGAAGUGAAGAAUGAGCAAUGAAAAGACCACCAACCUGUCCGACAGUCCGAGAGAGGACGGCGAGGACGCAACGAAGAGGACGGCUUGCGACCCAAAACGCGACGGUG